UGGGGUGUGGCUCAGUGGUAGAGCACUCACCUAGGAUGUGUGAGGCCCUGGGUUCAAUCCUCAGCACCACAU
rnacentral:tRNA from 1 species